rnacentral:lncRNA from 10 species
GAGAUCCAACAAGAUUUGAGUUUUAAAUACAGAACUUAAGGCUGGGGUGUGUAGCGGAGGUAUUUCUUGCCAGAUGGGAGCUCUUUGGUGAAGACUCCUUUCGGGAAAAGUUUUUUGGCUUCUUCUUCAGGGAUGGUUGGAAGGACCAUCACACUAUCCCCAUCCUAUUGAAAGACAUUGAGAAUGGUGAAAUUCAAUCUCAUAGUGAAGCUUCAAGGCCUUCAGGAAUUAACUUUAGAAAAGUAGCUACAGGUGCUAAUGAGACUAAUCAAGUGUUCUUUACUCUCCCCUCUGUGAGGAUUUUGUUUUCCAAGUUGAUCUUUGGCACUUUUGGCAGGAAAGCAGUUCCCCCAUCUUAACAAGAAACAGUCCUGUUUUAAACCCAGUAACAGCUGGCCACCACACUUUACAUUUAAUUCUGAGUAUCAUGGCCUGCAAGCCCUGUGUGAUGGAAUCCUGCCUCCUCUCAUCUCUUGUCCCUCACCCCACCUUCUGCAGCUUCUUCUCCAAGCAUGCUAGCUUUCCUUGUAUUCCUCCAACAUGCCAAGCUCACUUGUAGGCCCAGUUUCUUGCACUAACUGCUCCUUCUGCCUAUAGUGCUCGUCCCUCACAAGUAUACAUGCCUUGGUCACAUCUUCUCUGUGUUUUUCUCCAAAGGUCCCUUCAUAGACAGGCAUUCCUUGACAGUCACUCUCCCACCCCUGUGCUGUUAUUCUCCCCAUCUGUGCUUGAUUCUUCCCUGUAGCACCUGUUAUCACCACUUAAUAAACUUGUUUACUGUUUGUCUCCACUCACUGGAAUGGAAGUUCUAUGAGGGCAAGGACUUUCUAUUAUUCACUGCUAUCUCCCCAGUUCACUACUAUCUGGGCUCAAUAAGUACAUAAAUAAGUAAUAAUAAGUUAACUAGUGGAUACAGAAUUUAAGUGAUUUGUCUGUCAGAAAAAAACAAAACAAAACCUGCUAUUCAGGUUAGCAUUAUUUUAAAAAUGUAGCAAUGUUAAGAUACUCUUGUGAUGUUAUCCAUGUCCUAAAGAUGAAAAGUUUAUGAACAAAUUUUGGAGAAUUCUAGCACAGGUUUAAAAGAAUGAAGCUUAAGAGAAAUUAAAUACUUAAUGACAUUAAUACACCAGUACUUUUACAGCCAUGACUUAACGGAAAUGGCCAAUUAAGAUUGUGCGAUAAAUAUUUUGCCAUCAGGGAAGGGUUAGAUAAAAUUUUUUUUUUUAAACCUUCUAUUAGGAAAAGGAAUCAUUCUGACCAAUAAUUUUUCCAAAUUAUCUAAAAGUUGGAAAGCCAUAUAGGGAGUUUGUGUUGUGUAUAAAAGGUGUUAUAAAGACCUUGAAAAGGGCCUUUCAGCAAAUCUUGAACUCAGCCAUGAGGAAAAAUCCUCCCAGUGUACUUGCGUGCUAGAAACAGGUAACACAGACCUUGAAGUUGGCCAUUUAGAGACUGGCCCUUCAGGCAAGUAGAGAAACUGCUUUUUAAAAACAUCUUUACCUUCCAAUCAACUGGGGUGGCAACCCUUUUUUCUGCUGUCAGCUGGAGAGAGAUGACUACCCUGAGAAUCUCAUCAAAGUUCCUGCCAGUGGUAGCUGGGUAGAGGAUAGACAGCUUCAGCUUCUUAUCAGGACCAAAAACAAACACCUGUAAAGCACAGAGGGGCAUAAAUAGGAAGAGUUCUUUGAGUGUUAUUAAAGCCACUUAGAAAGCUCUGCAGUCAUUAAUAAUGUUCAAGGGUAUAAAAACAAGACAAAAACAAAGCAUCUAGAAGGAUACACCAACUGCUAAUGUGGAUGGCUGGAAUACAGAUAAUUUUCUUCUCCCUGUUAUUUUCUAAACGUAGAAGGGAAUUCUAUUUGGUUCUGGCUUUCCCAGUAAGAAAAACUGAUAUGCAAAUUUAAUCGAGGGAAAGGCUGUGUCAAUUGGGGAUGACUAUCAUAAAAAUAAUACUAAUGGGAGUUGAUAUUGUUCCUUGAAUAGUUGUGCAUUUAUUCAGAUGAGGGAUUGGGUUUGUUUUCUAGUGGGCGGAGGACAGAACAAAUAAAAAUUUAAAACAGAGCUGCCUUAUGAAGAAGGAUAUGGCCCAUCACUUUAAAGACAGGGCGGUCAGGAGAGCAGUCAGGAGAGCUAUGAAAAGGUUUCUCAAUUCUGGAAGACAUUUUAGGAUAAACAACUUUUUUUUUGUAGAUUUCCAUGAACUAUGAAUAAAGCAGUUGGAAAAUUUAGCUGAAAAUUGCAUCAGCAUUACAGAUAAUCAGUGAUAUUGUCGCCAAUACACAGUUAUUUCAUAAUCGUAGAUAUUCCCCUAUCUCCUCUAGCUGGUACCAGCAUUUACACGGACAUACAGCCUGAUCAGUUAAGCUAACUACAAAAUGAAUUUGUAUGACCUACCACACGAGCUGUCACAGGCAUGCCCUUUUCAUCCUUCUCUGCUGGAUCCAGCAUGCCCAACAGGAUGGCAAGCUCCCGAUUCCUAUCAUCGAUGAUGGGAAAAGGUAACUUUUCUGUGGGCUCUUCACAAUUGUAAGCAUUGAUAUCCUGAAACACAAGUAAAAGGGGAAAGAGGAAUCUAAACCCAACACAUGCUCUGAAUUUCAUCAGUUAACAGCCAUCACCUUGCAAGACAGGAAAGAGGACCAAAUCACAGUAAUUUUCUUUAAGCAAUUUUAAUUUUAAAAAGUGAGUAGAUGAACACUCUUCAUUCCAAUUAUUGCCAGGAAUAACAGCAGAGUACAGUACUUAGGUUGUAAUCAUGGACCAAAGCUGUUUUCAUGCCCAGUUCUCUUAAAUUCAGCAUGCUUUUACUGCUAUGAGAAAAUAGCAGCAACCCCUUUAAAAUUGCAAUAAUUUAGUUAGAUCCAAAUACAAGGUACCUCUGGGUACCCAAAUACUGUAAAAAUCAUCAGAUAACAAUAGGUUUGUUAAAUCCAUCACAUCUAGAAAUAAUGCCAUAUGUAAAGAAAAUCUUAUAGAUCUGGUCCCUACCUCAUAAAGCACCCUGACUCAGAUGCUAAGUUACAAGACAAAUAAGAAAUGACCAAAAAAAAAAAAAACAAAUCACAAAACAAAGCAAACACAAGAAUGGAGAGUUGAAUAUAUACUUGAAGGACAAGUCAAAAAUAAAUGGGUGAAGAGGCAGAAGUAAACCUAAACUAGGGUGAAAUUCAAAGAGAAAACAAAGCAUUUCAAGUCUGAACUAAAGAAAAAUGAUACACUUCCCUCCUUCCCUAGUAAAACUUUAUUCAUCCAUUUAUUUCUACUUUUCCUAUCCCUGGAAGCUUUUGGAGAAAAAAAAAAUCUAGUUUUGUUAUUUGAUUAAGCAUUGAUAUAGCACUUAAGGUGGGCUAAGCAUUAUGGUAAAUACAUGUGGAAUACAGAUGAGUAAGACACGGCUCCUCCCUUCAAAGGAACUUCUCAUUUGGUUAGAGAUGAUUCCAGUAUGAAGCAGCAGCAAAUGCAAGACUAAUGUUAAAUGGUGGAUGGUAAAUACUGAAGUAUACGAACACUCCCAUUUGUAGGACUCCAAAAGUUACAAAAGGCUUCAAGAAAAGAACAGGACUUCUAUCUAGGCCCUUGAAGGAUGGGUAAGAUUUUUCACAGAGAAAAGAAAGGCAUUCUAGGAAUCAGGAACUAUAUAUAUAUAUGCACACACACAUAUAUAUAUGUGUAUAUAUAUUAUAUACGUGUGCAUAUGUAUAUAUAUGUAUGUGUGUGUGUGUGUAUAUAUAUAAAUAUAUAUAUAUAUAAAUAUAUAUAUCUAAUUUUUUUUUUUUUUUUUUUUUGAGACAGAGUCUUGCUGUCGCCCAGGCUGGAGUGCACUGGUGCGAACUUGGCUCACCGCAACCUUGGCUCACUGCAACCUCCGCCUCCCAGGUUCAAGCAAUUCUCUGCCUCAGCCUCCUGAAUAGCUGGGAUUACAGGCACCCGCCACCACACCGGCUAAUUUUUUUUUGUAUUUUUAGUAGAAACGGGGUUUCGCCAUCUUGGCCAGGCUGGCCUUGAACUCCUAACCUUGUGAUCCACCUGCCUCAGCCUCCCAGAGUGUUGGGAUUACAGGCGAGAGCCACUGUGCCCGGCCAGGAACGAUAUUAAUGAAACAUGUGGGCAACUCUGUACAUAAACUAUUGAUAGGAGAGUGAGGAACUUAGUUGGAUAGAGUUUAGCAAGUAAUGGAAAAGAGGAUUUAAAAUUGGAAUAACGUCUAUUGUGUGUAGGCUUGAAAGUAAAACAGGGGCUUGAUGGCAUAGCAGAUACAAAACCAUUGUGGAUUUCUCAACGGAGAUGUGACAAAUGUGGCAUUAAUGAGCUCUGAAGUGGAUAACAACAAAUUCUUUUUAUUUAUUUAUUUUUUUGAGGUGGAGUCUCUGUUGCCCAGGCUGGAGUGCAGUGGCGCGAUCUCAGCUCACUGCAGCCUCCACCUCUCGGGUUCAAGCCAUUCUCCUGCCUCAGGCUCCCGGAUGAUAACAAAUUGUAACAUUCCUUCAUUUUAUUAUCUUAACUUUCUGUUGUCACUGGCUGCUUAUGAAGUCACCAGAGCUAAAUAAUAAUUAAUAUAGUCUCAUGCUAGAGGCAGAUUAUUAUAUAAUCAGUUGUUUGUCAAAGUUGCGGCACUGCUUCUGAUAGUUCAGACUUUUUUCCUAUUCAAUGUAAUCACAAUUCUGAAAACUUCUAAGGCAGAAGCUCAGCAGGUAAAAUAAACCUGAGUAUGCGUCUGUCCUUUAAAAGGUAUUAUAUAAUGGGCUAUAACCGCUUCCUUUGGCAAUAUGUCACUUUAAUUAUUGCUGUGCACUAAUUCUCUACUCUGCCACUUGCAUCAUGGGCAUUAGAUUACACCCAUGAACACCAAAGAACCUAUCCUAAAUUAUUUGGCUUUAUUCUAUCCUAAAUUAGGCUAAAUCCUACUCUUUAUCAUCUUGCAUUAAAAAGAACAUUGAUUUGAGGUUGAAAUCUCAUUGCCAUUGGGCAGUCUUGGGCAAGUCCCUCCAACUCUCUGAGUGAAAAAAGUAUGUUCAACUGCAAAAACGAAAAUGAAAAAUGAUAGCAAAAACUACAGUUACCACUCACUGAGAAGUGUAAGGAAUGAAAAAAAAUUCUACUUCAAGACAGAUAACUGCCCUUCUUUUUUCUCCUACACAUGAUUCUUCUAGUCUCAGAUAUUUAGGAUUAACUGGCAUUAACUGCUAUAGGAUGCAGCCACAGACCCCUAACUCACAAGUCAAUACAUCUUUUAUUCAACUGCACGUUUGACAUAGUUUCUAGUAUACAUCCCUCAAAAAGUAGUUAUCAUUAUUACUUAACAGCACAGUGCAGUCAAGUUCUUAAAAUGUUUUCAAGGUAAAUUCAGACCACCAAAUUUACUGUUCAAGUAAAUUCUUUUGCUAGAAGUAGGUAUUUCCUUCAGUUAAUUCAUUCAACAAAUAUUGACUGAUCGCCUAGGAUAUACUGAGUAGUGAGCAUUGUUCCAGCAGUGCACUAAACAGGAGUCUCUGUUCCUGCUGAGUUUAUACUCUACUAGGAAGAAACAAACAAACUAAAUAGGUAGUAUGCAGAGUGCUGAGGAGAAGGGGAUGGUGAACGUGAAAAGGAGUUAUAAUUUUAGAUAAUGAGGACAAGAAAGGCUUUGAUGAAAUGUCCUGUGAGUUGAGACCCAAAAGAGGUGAGGGUAAGUCACACAGAUCCCUGGGAAGUGAGUCUUCUAUCUAUGAUACAGGACAUAUUUUGAAGGUAGAGCUGACAAGUUUGAGGAUAAAUCAGAUGUAUGAUGUGAAAAAACAUGAAGAAUUCAGAAUGGCUCCUGGAUUUGGGGUGUGAACAACUAUAAAAAUGUAGUUGCCAUUAGCUUAGAUGAGUAAAACUCUGGAUCUAAGAAUGAGGCCUAGUUAGACAUGCUAGGUUUGAGAUGACUGGACAUCCCAGGAGAGAUGCUAGGUAGGCAGUGGUUAUAUGAACCUGGAAGAGUCUGGCAUAGAGAUGAAAAUUUGAGAAUCACAGCACAUAGAUGGUAUUUAAAGGUGAGUGGAUGAG